rnacentral:lncRNA from 1 species
ACUCUUGGAGUAGCAAUUGCUGGAUGUGCCUCUUUUGUUGAGGUGAUUGGAUCUUUUGGCAAAAACCAGUGACUGCAAAGGAUGAGAGAAACGAUCAGAAAAACUGAAAAGCUGUAGGAGACCAAACACUAGUGUCUCCCCUGCUUCAGGGGACACCCACUGUCAGAGUGAACGACAAAGACGCGCGUGGAUGAUUUGAAGAUAUUAGCCUAACAAGAUGGAAGCAGGUUUAAAAUUUUACAUAAGAAGUUACCUUUUUCAGUUGUGUUGAUGUUCCUUUCAGCUGGUCCUAUAGUACCCCUCCUCAGGAAUGUCUCCCCAGUGCAAGGACAAAGACUGAAGAGACUGCUAUAUUGAUGGACUCUCAAGCCAACUAUGAAGUUGAAACAAAGAAAGUGAUCACCUGAAGACACCUCCUCUGCUAAGAAACACCCCCAAAUUGUGCAGCUUCUGCCACUAGAACUCUCAGAACAAGAGACAAUCUUUUCAAGAAACAGAAAAACUCAAUAAUGACAUCUAGAUUUUCAUGAGCCAAGAACUUUCCCUUCCUCAUGUGUAUUCCUCUGUUUGUACUUAAAUUCAUGUGACAUUCAUUUUUUUCCUAGUAUGGAUAUGCUUAUUAAUGCACUUGUUUCAAAAUCCCAAAUUGCACAAAUGUGUUAAUAUUUUAAGAAACAAAAUGAAUCCUACAAGGAGAAUGAUUUUUAGCCACACAUAGGGUUGGAUCUUGAGAGUGACCUACAGAAUAAAAGUACUUUUAAAAUAAAGUAGUCAGAGGCUAUUCAAAGGGUAAAAUAAUCAUAGUACCACAUUGGUCCACUUGACACUAACCAAUCGAUCAUUUUUUUUUAAUCAAGAAAGCUAGAUUCUAUCAGAUAAAAUCACUGCUUCUAAAGAGUUUAAAUCUAGUUAGAAAAAGUUAUAGAAAUGUUUGCAAAGAUAAGUAACAGAUAGAGUCAGUAGAGGAUAAGAUCAAAAACAAAACCAAGCAAAAGAUGAGUUCAGGGGAGUUUGCCAUCAAGUUGGCAAAACUGACUUACUUAGGGAAGAAAGUUAUAAAACAGGAAAAUAUGAGAUGAACCUUGAGUGAUGUGGAAGAUUUAGAUAAAUGGAAAGGAAGGAGAAAAUGGAGUUCUUUAGGUGGUUGUAAUUGGAGGAGGAAAUGAAUACACACAUCUUGUUGACUUAAACCCAGACAUUCAGCAGCUCUCUAUACAUAUCUGGAAAAGACUGCACAGUCACCUCCUGUCUCUCACCCCAGGUAUUACUUAGAAUUAUUAUCAUAUUUCCCUUCCUUUAAAGUAAGUAAGGGUGAUUGGUGACAAUAUGGAGAACUAUGAUUUUUCCAUUAACCUAAUAAUAAUUGGUAUUUAUUGAGUUCUGUUAAGCAUUUUACAUAUUAACUCACUUAAGCCUUUCAACAGCCUUGCAAAAUAGGUAUUAUUAUCCCCAUUUUACAGGCAAGAAAACUGAGGUUUAAGUAACUUGCCGAAGUGCCAUAUACAGGGCUCACAUUCAGUAUUGCAGUUGCAAAGCUCAUGAUCUAUAGUGCCAAGUUGCAAUAUUGUAGUCAAUGUCACAAUUAUUACCCCUUUUUAUAUUCCUUGAUAUUUUUCCAUGGCAAACAAUUAGCUAUUUCAUUUAAUAAUCACCUAAAACUUUUCAGUCUUCUGAUUAAAAUUACGCUGGAGUGAUAGAAUGUAUUUUCAUGAUAGAAAUUGGGAAAAAAAAUGGGGAAUGAAGUUUAUCAGCAUUUCAGACUUGUUUUUUUUUUUUUUUUUUGCAAGACUUUGAUGAGAUUGUUCACUUUUGUCUAUGUAAAAUCCCAAAUCCUUGAGAAUAAAAAAGGGGGAGGUUUAAGUCACUUGUUGCAAUGCCCUUUUUAAUAGAGGCAAUAAAUCUAAAGGCCAUAAAUUUAGAGUGACUUACAGAAGAUCGAACUUUGGAGUGUGGCAGAGUAAGGGAUGGAAACCGGGCCCUCCAGUUCACUAUCAGUAGCUUUUGCACUGGUCUGCCCUUCCUAAAUUAAGUAUGCACUUCAAUUUGAUGAGUGGAAACAGUCUAUCUGGGCAGUAACCAGGGAGCUUUGUGCCUAGUAGAUUGCUUCUGUUCUGCACUUCUUUGGUUUCCCACCUCAAUGUAAAAAAUAGCUAGCAAUGAAGUCCAGAAGUUGUCAAUGGUUCAUCCCCAGAAGAAUGCAUAAUGUCCAAAGUUGUAUGUGUAUGAUGUCUUCAAUGGUAUUAAGUUAUUUCAAAUUCUUAGUUCACCUACAUAAAUCAUUUCUAACAAGCAUCUUCUUAACCAACUUUAUGCACAGUGUAUGUUUGUAAGUGCUUCUGCACGAAUGUUUAUACAUGACUGUUUCCAUAGUACUUAUGUUUUUAAAAAUAUUCAGUCAUUUCCUACUAUAAUCCUCAUGUAUCCAUGUAACUGACUCAAAAAUACUUCAGCCACAGAAAGCUAAAACUGAGCAAAUCUCAUUCUUCUUUUCCAUCCCCUUUGCAUGUGGCUGGCAUUUAGUAAUGAUUAAUAAUAUGGCCAGCUGAAUAACAGAGGUUUGAGACACAAUUCUUUCUCAAAGGAGUCAGCUAAGCUGGGUCUACUUAUGGACAAACAUCUAAAUGUGUGGAAGUAUCUGAUAUUUGACAAUGGUAAAUUUCCACUUAGCUAGCUAGCAUUGUCAGACUUCAAUCUCCUCAUGGCUCUGGCCGUCCUGUUUUAAGCAUGAUAAUUGUUGGCCACAUCUCACAUAGUUCUCAUUGAGUG